UACGUAGGGUGCGAGCGUUAAUCGGAAUUACUGGGCGUAAAGCGUGCGCAGGCGGUUCGUUAAGUUCGUUGUGAAAGCCCCGGGCUCAACCUGGGAACUGCAAUGGAAACUGGCGGGCUUGAGUGUGGCAGAGGGGGGUGGAAUUCCGCGUGUAGCAGUGAAAUGCGUAGAGAUGCGGAGGAACACCGAUGGCGAAGGCAAUCCCCUGGGCCUGCACUGACGCUCAUGCACGAAAGCGUGGGGAGCAAACAGG
rnacentral:rRNA from 1 species